UCCCAGACUCCUACGGGAGGCAGCAGUCGGGAAUAUUGCGCAAUGGAGGAAACUCUGACGCAGUGACGCCGCGUAUAGGAAGAAGGUUUUCGGAUUGUAAACUAUUGUCGUUAGGGAAGAGAAAGGACAGUACCUAAGGAGGAAGCUCCGACUAACUACGUGCCAGCAGCCGCGGUAAUACGUAGGGAGCGAGCGUUAUCCGGAAUUAUUGGGUGUAAAGGGUGCGUAGACGGGAAAGCAAGUUAGUUGUGAAAUCCCUCGGCUUAACUGAGGAACUGCAACUAAAACUACUUUUCUUGAGUGCAGGAGAGGUAAGUGGAAUUCCUAGUGUAGCGGUGAAAUGCGUAGAUAUUAGGAGGAACACCAGUGGCGAAGGCGGUCUGCUGGACAGCAACUGACGCUGAGGCGCGAAAGCGUGGGGAGCAAACAGGAUUAGAUACCCGUGUAGGA
rnacentral:rRNA from 1 species